rnacentral:rRNA from 1 species
UACAGAGGUGGCAAGCGUUGUUCGGAAUUACUGGGCGUAAAGGGCGCGUAGGCGGCCUUCUAAGUCAGACGUGAAAUCCCCCGGCUUAACCUGGGAACUGCGUCCGAUACUGGAGGGCUUGAGUGCGGGAGAGGGAUGUGGAAUUCCAGGUGUAGCGGUGAAAUGCGUAGAUAUCGGAAGGAACACCAGUGGCGAAAGCGGCUUCCUGGUCCAGCACCGACGUUCAGGCACGAAAGCGUGGGGAGCAAACAGG